CCUACGGGUGGCAGCAGUGGGGAAUAUUGCACAAUGGGCGCAAGCCUGAUGCAGCCAUGCCGCGUGUGUGAAGAAGGCCUUCGGGUUGUAAAGCACUUUCAGCGGGGAGGAAGGCGGUGAGGUUAAUAACCUCAUCGAUUGACGUUACCCGCAGAAGAAGCACCGGCUAACUCCGUGCCAGCAGCCGCGGUAAUACGGAGGGUGCAAGCGUUAAUCGGAAUUACUGGGCGUAAAGCGCACGCAGGCGGUCUGUCAAGUCGGAUGUGAAAUCCCCGGGCUCAACCUGGGAACUGCAUUCGAAACUGGCAGGCUAGAGUCUUGUAGAGGGGGGUAGAAUUCCAGGUGUAGCGAUGAAAUGCGUAAAGAUCUGGAGGAAUACCGGUGGCGAAGGCGGCCCCCUGGACAAAGACUGACGCUCAGGUGCGAAAGCGUGGGGAGCAAACAGGAUUAGAUACCCUUGUAGUC
rnacentral:rRNA from 1 species